GGCGGCGUAGGCUAGCCAGGUAAGCCGCGAAGUUACGACCUUCGUGUCCGAUAAGGACUCCGGGGUUCAAAUCCCCGCGCCGCCG
rnacentral:tRNA from 1 species